GCAGCACAAGGCAAAGCAAAGCUAAGCUUUGGUUUGUCUUUUGGACAGGUUGUUUUUAUUCGAGUGAAGGCAGCUCCGAAGUUCAGAGAGAGGAAAAGUGACAGAAAGGUUUCAGAGAUGCUGUCCUGCCAACCACCUGCUUCUCAGACCAACAGUGUGAUCUUCUCUUGGAGUCUGGCACUAGCUCUGCAGCUCUGUAGCUAGACAUCUUCUGGGCAGGAAUCAGCACUUGCCUCAGGAUAUCUGCUCAUGAACAGCUGAUACACAGCAGCAGGUCUGAGAUGAUUGGUGCUGAGAAGGCUGGACGUUGGCAGCAGAAGUACAGUGCUAGUCCCUGGACUCCCUGCUUAACCCCACUGGAGCUCCCCGCUGUUGCGGCUUCCUCUCUGAAGAGCCUUCCAGCAACUGCUCAUUUUGGCAGGAUCUCCUUCCAUCUGCUCCCUUGCCUUGCCUAGGCUCGACCCAGAAAUCCUCUGUGUGUGUGAGCAACCUCUACCAGUUCUCCAGCCCAGGCUCCCUGCCUGGCUGACAUCUCAGAAGCCCUACAUCAGCAGGCAGGAAAGAGUAGAAGGGUAUUAUUUCUCAUACUCAGCUUUUCUUCUCUUUGGCCGGAGUCAUCCAUAAGCCCAAACAGUUGUACAGUUUUCCUCUCUCAGUUUUCCAUCUUUUCUACUCUGAGUAGUCCUCCUGCAGCCUGGUGUGUACAUCCUCUCUCUGCCUGCUCUAACUCCAAGUCUGCCAUAAUCAAACCACUUCUGUCUCGUCUUCCCCUGUGUCAGUGACCCUCUCCUUCAGCUUUGAAUGCAGGAAUGAGAAGCUGCCUGCUAUGUGAACAAAGGCAGUAGGGUAUAGGACCCACAGAGCAAAAACAUGAAGCUCUAACUUCCAUGUGUUCAACUUGGGCUUUAUGGCUACUUAGGGCUCUGACUUGCAUGAGAUUCAGGCACUCAUAGAAAGCCCUGGAAAUCCCGCAGGCCUUAGAAAUUGCCCUUUGCAUGUUUAGCUUGAAAACCAACUCAUGUUCCACUUAUCCAGCCACAAGAGACUUGGGUUGCACGUGAGACAUGCUUAACAGUCUGUACCAGCCCCCAUGUCUUGGCUGUAGUCUGAAAAAACAUGUGGCUGUGGUUUUGGUUGCUUCCAUCUGCUUUAACAAGGGCUGGUAUAAAUAGCUGUCUGGGUCUCUACCUCUUACCUCGCUUUGGUUCAUGCUACUAGACCCAUCUCAUAGUAGACCUCUCUCCAUUGUGUCUCUUUUGGUUAGCUACUAAUGCCUUUCCUACAUUGUAGCUUCUUGGUUUCCCACCACAGUACUGCUGCAUUUUCUUACCAUUUGGCCUGGAAGAUGCAGUAUUGACUCAGAAACUGAAGAGCUUUUAACCUUAUUACCUUGAGUAGUGGCCCACACCAGCAAUAAAAAGGAGAGGGCUGAAGAAAACCUCA
rnacentral:lncRNA from 1 species